rnacentral:rRNA from 1 species
UUCUUUAGUACGAGAGGAUUUGGAAGGACGACCCUCUGGUGUUCCUGUUGUCGCGCUAGCGGCACGGCAGGGUAGCUAAGGUCGGAAAGGAUAAACGCUGAAAGCAUCUAAGCGUGAAGCCCGCUCCGAGAUUAGGUUUCGUAGGGCAAUGCCCGAAAGUCCCCUGGAAGACGACCAGGUUGAUAGGCCGGAUGUGUAAGUGCAGUAAUGUAUUCAGCUAACCGGUACUAAUGGACGAACGCUUGGCCAC